rnacentral:rRNA from 1 species
UACGUAGGGGGCGAGCGUUGUUCGGAUUUACUGGGCGUAAAGGGCGCGCAGGCGGCUCUGUUUGUCAGGCGUGAAAGCCCCGGGCUUAACCUGGGAACUGCGUUUGAUACUGAGAAGCUUGAGUCCGGGAGAGGUGAGUGGAACUGCGAGUGUAGAGGUGAAAUUCGUAGAUAUUCGCAAGAACACCAGUGGCGAAGGCGGCUCACUGGCCCGGUACUGACGCUGAGGUGCGAAAGCGUGGGGAGCAAACAGG